rnacentral:rRNA from 1 species
GUUUAUUUGAUAGUACCUUACUACUUGGAUAACCGUGGUAAUUCUAGAGCUAAUACAUGCUAAAAAUCCCGACUUCGGAAGGGAUGUAUUUAUUAGAUUAAAAACCAAUGCCCUUCGGGGCUCCUUGGUGAUUCAUGAUAACUUCGCGAAUCGCAUGGCCUUGCGCCGGCGAUGGUUCAUUCAAAUUUCUUCCCUAUCAACUUUCGAUGUUUGGGUAUUGGCCAAACAUGGUUGCAACGGGUAACGGAGGGUUAGGGCUCGACCCCGGAGAAGGAGCCUGAGAAACGGCUACUACAUCCAAGGAAGGCAGCAGGCGCGCAAAUUACCCAAUCCCGACUCGGGGAGGUAGUGACAAUAAAUACUGAUACAGGGCUCUUUAGGGUCUUGUAAUUGGAAUGAGUACAAUUUAAAUCCCUUAACGAGGAACAAUUGGAGGGCAAGUCUGGUGCCAGCAGCCGCGGUAAUUCCAGCUCCAAUAGCGUAUAUUAAAGUUGUUGUGGUUAAAAAGCUCGUAGUUGAACCUUGGGCCUGGCUGGCCGGUCCGCCUCACCGCGUGCACUGGUCCGGCCGGGCCUUUCCCUCUGUGGAACCCCAUGCCCUUCACUGGGUGUGGCGGGGAAACAGGACUUUUACUUUGAAAAAAUUAGAGUGCUCCAGGCAGGCCUAUGCUCGAAUACAUUAGCAUGGAAUAAUAAAAUAGGACGUGCGGUUUUAUUUUGUUGGUUUCUAAGACCGCCGUAAUGAUUAAUAGGGACAGUCGGGGGCAUCAGUAUUCAAUUGUCAGAGGUGAAAUUCUUGGAUUUAUUGAAGACUAACUACUGCGAAAGCAUUUGCCAAGGAUGUUUUCAUUAAUCAGGAG